CACGUAGGGUGCGAGCGUUGUCCGGAAUUAUUGGGCGUAAAGAGCUCGUAGGCGGUUUGUCGCGUCUGCUGUGAAAACCCGAGGCUCAACCUCGGGCCUGCAGUGGGUACGGGCAGACUAGAGUGCGGUAGGGGAGAUUGGAAUUCCUGGUGUAGCGGUGGAAUGCGCAGAUAUCAGGAGGAACACCAAUGGCGAAGGCAGAUCUCUGGGCCGUAACUGACGCUGAGGAGCGAAAGCAUGGGGAGCGAACAGG
rnacentral:rRNA from 1 species